rnacentral:rRNA from 1 species
GCGCGCUGAGCACAUGCAAGUCGAACGAGAAAGGGGAGCAAUCCCUGAGUAAAGUGGCGUACGGGUAAGUAACACAUGUGUAAUUUACCUCUGGGUGGGGAAUAACUCUGGGAAACCGCAGCUAAUACCGCAUAAGCCCACAAGGGGAAAGGCGAAAGUCGCCGAGAGAGGAGGCGCGGCCGAUUAGCUUGUUGGUGGGGUAAAGGCUCAUCAAGGCUGAGAUAGGUAGCCGGCCUGAGAGGGCUCACGGCCACACUACACUGAAACACGGGCCAGACUCCUACGGUUUUAGGCAGCAGUGGGGGAUGUUGCACAAUGGGGGAAACCCCGAUGCAGCGACGGCACGUGAGCGAUAAAGCCCUUCGGUGUGUAAAGCUCUUUCAACAGGGACGAUAAAUGACGGUACCUGCAGAGGAAGCUGUGCUAACUACGUGCCAGCAGCCGCGGUAAUACGUAGGCAGCGAGCGUUGUUCGGAGUUACUGGGCGUAAAGCGUGCGUAGGCGGUGGUCCAAGUCUGGUGUGAAAUCUCCCGGCUUAACUCCGGAGGGUGCGCCGGAAACUGGGCCGCGGGAGUGUGGGAGAGGUAAGCGGAAUUCCCGAGUAGCG